rnacentral:rRNA from 1 species
AGAGUUUGAUCCUGGCUCAGGACGAACGCUGGCGGCGUGCCUAACACAUGCAAGUCGAACGGUUGAGAGGUGAGAGUUGGGAGGUUAGAAGUGAGAGCUUGAAGGUAUUGGCCAACAUGCCAAUACCAGCAAUGAAGUCUCACAUCCCGCUUCCCACAUCUCACUUCUCAAUAGUGGCGGACGGGUGAGUAACGCGUGGGCAACCUACCCAUCAGACUGGGAUAACACCGGGAAACUGGUGCUAAUACCGGAUACGCUUAUGGAGGGGCAUCCCUUUGUAAGGAAAGAAAAUCGCUGAUGGAUGGGCCCGCGUCUGAUUAGCUAGUUGGUGGGGUAGUGGCCUACCAAGGCGACGAUCAGUAGCCGGCCUGAGAGGGUGACCGGCCACACUGGGACUGAGACACGGCCCAGACUCCUACGGGAGGCAGCAGUGGGGAAUAUUGCGCAAUGGGGGAAACCCUGACGCAGCAACGCCGCGUGAGUGACGAAGGCCUUCGGGUCGUAAAGCUCUGUCGACAGGGACGAAUAGAUGACGGUACCUGAGGAGGA